rnacentral:rRNA from 1 species
UCUUUACAAUUUUUAUUAUUUAAUUUAUAAAGAAUAAUUAAAAUUUUAUAAUAUAAAUUGUUUUAUUGGGGUGAUAUUAAGAUUUAUUUAACUCUUAAAAAAUUUUAUCAUUUAUAUAUGAUUAAUUGAUCCAUAUUAAUGAUUAAAAAUUUAAGU